CAGCUUUAAAAGAGACAGAAAGGUAGCUGUGGGUUUUGCAAGAGCUCUGUCACCAAGGGAAGGAUUUUCUUUUUAUGCUUUUACCUGGCUUUUGAGGGUAUCUCCAAGAUGCCGUUUAUAGGUCCCUUGGGAAGAUGGGAAAUGGAAAGGGCAGAAGAAGACCUGGCAACAUCCCCAGCCAAAUGGAAAAGGUUGCUUUCCUGCAGCCUGUUAGAACGUGAGGUGAUGGUGAUUCCAUUACCUUCAGUUUGCAAAGGAACAGCCUUGGAGAAGUUGGAAAGGGGGCCUCUGUCAUCUCCAGUGUUGUCAGGGUGGUUCUUUCCUCUCAGACCUGCCUAUGUGUUGAGUUUGCACCAGUUCCAUGUGUUGGCUUAAAUAAGGGACACAUUUAAAAUAUGUUAAACCCCUAUGCAGACCUUCUUUCAAGGGUUAAGCAAUUCUCUUGCCUGCCUUGCACAAGCAUCCUCACCAACAGAAGUAAAAUAUUCGCAAGUCUCAUUUUAAAAUAUCAGAGAGCGAUCCACUGAGUUAAAUCAGGCUUCUAAUGAGAUCAGGAGAUACACGUCUUCUGCUGGCACUGAUUUCAAGCUCCUGGGCUUACUUUUUCUGCUUUUGGGGAAAGCUAAGUUUUUUUUUCAGGACAGCUUCAUGGUCCAAGAGAGGCCCAAUGAAGAUGUUAAACAAAACUGCGAUACUUCCUCUUCUUUGUUUGAGAAGUGUAUGUGGGUUGCAUUCUUACUGGUAACUAUAACAGUGAGAUCUACAGUAAUGAUUAAAAAAGCCUUUGAAUGAAUUCCAGUCUCUCCUCCCACUAAAAGCAGGGAGUGAAGUCAUAUCCAGCUGUCACUGAGAAUGAGAAAUUCAUCCAGACACCUUUACCAGCAUUAGUCUUACAUAAAAGUCAAUUCUUAACUAAUAUUGAUGUACAGUCUGUAAGGCAAGGGUCAGGGCUGUCUACUUCUACCUCCAUGUGUGACCCACGCCCUAUCCCCGACCUUAUUCCUUACCAGCUGCCUCUCUGGGUACAUGGCAUUUAUCCACCAUGAUCUCUUCUGCAUUUUGUCCCUCUUGUUCGCAGAAAUGAUUGCAGCUGGAAUUUGAGUGGAAUUUCCUGCUUUUCCUGGUUUCCGUGUUCUUUCUUGCCAUGGGGUCAGGACAGGAAGUGGGAUUUGGGAGAUUAUUUUGAAUGCAGUGUGAGAGAUUUAAGAAAAAAGUGAGGUUAAAAUGGUAUCCACUACUGCAUCUGCAGAUGUGCCAGUGUUUGUUCCAUUGUACUGCCGUUCAUAGGGUCGUAUGUUUUCUGUGCACAGCGGGACCCUGACUCAUGAUAACUCCAGAUAUCGCUGCCUAAUGCAGAUAACAUUAGGAAUGCCCAAAUUAAUUUACAAGUGAUUAGCUAAUCAAUACAUUUAAUGAGGCUCCACUGAAUAGGCAGAGUUGCAAUUCAGAAGUAGAGAAGUCAAGACUUAAAACUGUGCAUGCACCACUGGCUUAGAAAGAGAAGGAGAGCCUGGGACAAGGAUCACACGCCCUGAGCACCUGGCUGGCGGGCGCUCAAGCAUGUCUCUGUGCCUGCCUCAGGUAUGUCUGUAAGUGCCCUAAAAGACAUGUUGUUUCUUCCACAAGGUUAUAACUGAUUCCAGAUCCAGGGUGGGAUGAAUAAACAUAUAACACAGCAUACUGUGUUCCA
rnacentral:lncRNA from 1 species